GCUGGGUGUGGUGGUGCAUGCCUGUAAUUCCAGCUACUGGGAAGGCUGAGGUGGGAGGAUUGCUUGAGCUUGGGAGUCAAGGCUGCAGUGAGCCAUGAUCGCACCACUGCACUCCAGCCUAGGCAACAGAGUGAGACCCUGUCUCAA
ensembl:misc_RNA Metazoa_SRP Metazoan signal recognition particle RNA